GGCGGUCCGCCCGGCCGCCCAAACUAGAUCCGCGGGCCGGGUGCCCGAGCGCCGGUUAUGGACCCGGGAGGACCCGUCCGCUGCGGGGCCCCCGGGGCCGCCUCGCCCGCGCCGCCACCGUUGGCGCGCAUCGCCCCGUCACUUUUCCUCGGGAGUGCGCGCACCGCGGCCGCGCCAGAGCUGCUGGAGCGCGCGGGCGUCAGCCUGUGCGUCAACGUCUCGCGUCAGCAGCCCGGCCCGAGCGCGCCCGGCGUGGCCGAGCUGCGCGUGCCCGUGUUCGACGACCCGGCCGAGGACCUGCUGACGCACCUGGAGCCCACCUGCGCCGCCAUGGAGGCCGCGGUGCGCGCCGGCGGCGCCUGCCUAGUCUACUGCAAGAACGGCCGCAGCCGCUCGGCCGCCGUGUGCACCGCCUACCUCAUGCGGCACCGCGGCCUCAGCCUGGCGCAGGCCUUCCAGGCGGUGAAGAGCGCCCGCCCGGUGGCCGAGCCCAACCCGGGUUUCUGGGCUCAGCUUCAGAAGUACGAGGAGGUCCUGCAGUCCCUGUCCUGCCCGCCCGGGGAGCCCUCGGGACCGUGCUCCCGAACGAGAGAAGAGCUCCAGAAUGAGCCCUAGUCCUACAACCCUUGGAGAUGACCCAGCGCCCAAAGCAGGGCGCAUGGAGUUGAAGCCAGCACCUCGCUGGUCCUAGUCUUUCCCGGUGAGAUGACUCACGCCUUCAUUCUGAAGGGCCCUGAGUGGCCCUGCUUGUGUUACUGCUGCGGCCGCCAUCACCUACCACACGAGCGGGAUUACCGGACGCAUCAGGAGAACGUCCCGAGCUCAGUGUCCUCCUCCCGGCAAGACAGGAUCAGUCCCUCCGCCCAGCAGAGCAACCCCUGAUUUGCCCGCUGUGUCAGUGGCCCGGGGAGCCUGCAACAGCCAGCCGGUGUCCCAGCGCGCCAUCCAGGGGAACGUGCGUGUCCCUGGUGGAAACAUGCUACCUGGGAACGUAACCCCUGACUCAGCAGAGCCCAAAGCUGUCCGAUGGGAAGCUCACGCCGGGAGGCAUGGAGAUGGUUGUGAAAGCGACUCCCUCCCCACCCCGCUUACACCUGCACCUGAGCUCUGACCCCCUGCGUUGGCCCCGGCUCAGCGCAUACACCACACCUGGCAGCUGGCGCCCAGCCCCUCUCCACGCGGCUCUGCAGCUCCCUGCAGCCAAGCCGCUUUCCACCACCUUUAUAAAGGGCUUGCCUGCUGCCGUGACUCCCUCCAAGCGCCUCGCACCUCGUGUCGCCUUCCCGUCAACCCCUUGCCGUGAGGAAGCUGUCGCCACGUCUCCGCUUGGCAGGUGAGCUGAGCAGUUCGCCAGGACCUGCGCCCAGCUUCUUAGCCACCGUGUCCAUGGCACUUGUGAUGGGACCCCCCCACGUCCAUGUACCUCUCAUGGGACACCCCCUGGCGGGCUGCCCUGGCUCCAGGUACCAAAGGUGCAAGAGCUGGGCCAGAUUGAAAGACCUCUGUGGGUCCCGUCAGUGUUUUAUCCCACCAGCUCUGUUUGAGAACCAUCUCACUGCGGCUCUUGGCAGAGGUCAGCGCUCCCGAGGACCUCCGCCUGCCUGCACAUCCGCCUGGCAGGAGAGGCCGGGGACCUGCUCCCCUCCCUAGCAUGCCACACUUGAACGGUGGUGCCCAUCCUUGAGCAUUAGGCUUGGAAGGCUGGGGCACAGGCAGGGCGUCAACUGCUUCAGCCCACCCGGGCCAGCCAGGACUUGAUCACCAGAAAACUAAAGUAUGAAAGUUCCUGUGGGAGAAGCCUCAGCCUCUGAUGGCCCCAACUUCUACCUUCCUCUCCCUGGAGGCAGGGCAAGGAGAGAGAGCGGAGAGCUGCCUCCUGCUGCAGGGGAAGGGAAGGAGGACAGCCAGAUGGGCUACAGGGAAGGGCCGUGGGGCCGUGCUGAAGGCUCUGUCCCCUGAAGGGCAGAGACAGGGUGGAGGGUGGGGACAGCGACAGCAUCCCCAUCUGUGGGCCUCACGGUCAGGAGGGGAAUACUACUGCAUAACGCAUGUGUCUGCUCUA